GGGUUGGUAGCUCAGCGGUAGAGCAUUCGGCUUUUAACCGAUUGGCCCUGGGUUCGAUCCCCAGCCGACCCA
rnacentral:tRNA from 1 species